GACGAACGCUGGCGGCGUGCCUAAUACAUGCAAGUUGAGCGAUGAAGCUUGGUGCUUGCCCCAAUUUGAAGAGCAGCGAACGGGUGAGUAACGCGUGGGGAAUCUGCCUUUGAGCGGGGGACAACAUUUGGAAACGAAUGCUAAUACCGCAUAAUAACUUUAAACAUAAGUUUUAAGUUUGAAAGAUGCAAUUGCAUCACUCAAAGAUGAUCCCGCGUUGUAUUAGCUAGUUGGUGAGGUAAAGGCUCACCAAGGCGAUGAUACAUAGCCGACCUGAGAGGGUGAUCGGCCACAUUGGGACUGAGACACGGCCCAAACUCCUACGGGAGGCAGCAGUAGGGAAUCUUCGGCAAUGGACGAAAGUCUGACCGAGCAACGCCGCGGGAGGGAAGAAGGGCUUCGGAUCGUAAAACUCUGUUGGUAGAGAAGAACGUUGGUGAGAGUGGAAAGCUCAUCAAGUGACGGUAACUACACAGAAAGGGACGGCUAACUACGUG
rnacentral:rRNA from 1 species